GAAGAGGCAGAGGCAGGUGGAUC
rnacentral:piRNA from 1 species